GGAGAGAUGGCUGAGUGGUCGAAAGCGGCGGUCUUGAAAACCGUUGGCGGGAAACCGCCCGGGGGUUCGAAUCCCUCUCUCUCCGCCU
rnacentral:tRNA from 1 species